rnacentral:lncRNA from 1 species
GGCAUUCCCAAGGCGGUGUUCUGUCCCUUGUCAGAAAACAACUUCCCUCAGCUCAGACUGGAUUUUGAAGAAAUAAGGAAGGGAGAGAGAGGGCAACCAAGCUUUAAGGAUUAACAAGUGGCUGAAGGGCAGAUGAAGGCAAGGGAGGAGGAAGUCCCCUGGGUCAGGUCUGGCAAGUGUAAAAGAGAGAAAGAAAUCUGAGCGUAGUGGUGGAGGGAAGCCAGCGGGAGUUUGAUGGGAGCCUUGGGGACCCACAGUUUCAACCAUUUAGCUUACAGAGGCUCACAGGCCAAGUGGUCGAAAGUGACCACAACCCCAAAUCCGUUCUGAAUGGAUGGCACAGUUGAUAAGAAUGGCGGCAGGGAACAGAAGGACAGAGAGUUGUCUUCAUAAAAUGGGCCAAUUGCGCUUCUGAGCGCAUUAAGAGAAUUGGGCGUGUCAGGAGGCUGAAGCGGUCCUGACUUUGCUGGUGUGGAAACUGGCAACGUGGUCUAGAAAGAAGUGGAGGAAUGGCAUCGAAGAAACCCAGAACCGGUGUCAAGAGUCCACUCAGCACCGCCAGCGUGCACAUUGGUGGAGAGCCAUCUACUGGACCGCGGACCGCAUCUUUGGAGAGAACUGACUCCCUGGCUCGCAGCAGCCAUCAACUGCCAAAGUUCUGAGGUAGGGCUGGCACGUAUGAUCACCUCUUCACUCGAUGCAGAUCCUGUGCAGGUCUCGCCUUCUGACCGUCUCAACGUCUGAAUCCAUUUGUGUUCUUCUAAGUCCCUGUACUGGCUGGUUUUGUGUGUCAACUUGACACAAGCUGGAGUUAUCACAGAGAAAGGCGCCUCCCUUGAGGAAAUGCCUCCAUGAAAUCCAUAAGACUCCCCAUGUAUCCAGUGAUCAUGAAGGAUUCUACAGCAUGCUAUGAUGUGGGACCGGGGUAGAGUGUUAACAGCAGGCAUGGAGGUGCAGUCUGGGAACCAAGAUAUAGCGUCUGUCUACCCCCACCUCCGGGCAGAUGUGGAUGGGUGAGAAAAUAUUACAAACGGGCCUCCUGCUCCAUUCAGUCACCGUGACCUUUGCUCUGAAAACAGCUGCCUUCCCCAGAUGCAGCAGAGCUACAAACAUACACUUUGUCCUUCAAGGCAUGUCACUGAGGACCCUGAAGAAUGCUCACUGUCUGAGCUAAUCUCCUAUCUCUUCCUCUCAGGAUCAUAUAAGUGACCUGAGAUGAAAGUCCCUGAAUUUGUUUUCUGUAGCUUCUAUCUUCCCCGAAGGAAAAAAAAAAUCAACCUUAUGGAAUAUAGCUGAUCUACCCAAAGAUCUGAGAGUCCAGUAAGAAAUCCUCCAAUUGCACCUUUCAUUAUUAAAAAAGUUUACCAGGGGAACAGAAAAACAGAAUGUAAUAUAAUGAGUGUAGUUGCUACCACCAUCACCAAAACCCCCCAAAACAGAUGAUUUGUGAAUCUCCUAUUAUCUUACAAAAAGUUCCCCUGACAUUUUAUCUAUAGUUUUUUAAAAAUCAGAGGCCCAUUGAUCAUAUGGUAUUAAUACUUGAUUAAUUAAGUGUGUCAUUACUGAGUCACGCCUGUGUCAGUUUACUGAAUUAUAUUUCAAGCCCAUCACUAGUUAAUAUCAAUGCUGGAGAAAAUAAAGAAAAUUAAACCUG